GCUUAGUGCCUUCUUCAGUCAGUAGAACAUGAGACUCAUAAUCUCAAGGCUGUGGGUUCAGGCCCACAUUGGGCA